rnacentral:rRNA from 1 species
CGGCGAACGGGUGAGUAACGCGUGGAUUAUCUGCCCUGAGGUGGGGGAUAACCCGGGGAAACUCGGGCUAAUACCGCAUAUGACCGCGAGGUCAAAGGGGGGUCGCAAGAUCUCUCGCCAUAGGAGGAGUCCGCGUCCGAUUAGCUAGUUAGUAGGGUAAUGGCCUACCAAGGCGACGAUCGGUAGCCGGCCUGAGAGGGUGAUCGGCCACACUGGAACUGAGACACGGUCCAG